CGGGAAAUUCUACAGUAAAAGGGCAUAGUAAGGAUGUACGCGAUGUUACUUUAGGAGUAGGCGUGGCUGUGGAUAGGGGGAAAUCAGCCUUAUCCAUUCCCAUAUAUUAUUCCUUUUGUCUUCAGUAUAUCCAAACCAUGUGUAUGUCCAGGCGUUGCAAUAUACAGUAAUCCAUUAUCAGUCAUGAUAUUAAAAUCUCAUUCUCAUUAAUUAAAUCAAAGAUUUUAAAUCAACCUCAGAAGUAACAACAUUGUUUUUACCUUCUGUAAAAUGAUUGGAGUUACUGUAUAAUUGCAUACACCCAAUAUAACAUACAUUGCAUGUUCCUCACUGCUACAUUAGUGUAUUUCAUUCUGCCAUAUUUGCAAACUUGAUGUACAUUUUUAUUUUAAUUAAUUAACCUAAUACUUUCUUAAAAUACAUAUAAAACAAUGAAAAAACAGUUCAGACUAACAUUUCAUUAAAACAAACUAACAUAGAACUCUAUUUUUGGCUGUUCUUAAUUCUGGAAUCAGCCUGUGUACCUCUGUUGGCAGACAUAUCCAUGCUCAUUCCCUAAACUGAUCAUAUCUCUUGAAGUUAUCUGAUUCUUAUAACUUUCUGUGUUACGCUGCAUUGCUUGUCUGUCUCCUAAUUUCGAUUUAGCUAAAAUUGCUUUUAUUUGUCUGAUUAUAAGUUUACAAGGAAAGGCUUUAAUUGAUUUAUCUCCACAUGUAUUUUCUCUGUCAAAAUUUUCAAUCAACAAAUUUAAUUUCUCAUUUGCUUUUGAUUUGAUAUCUCGGAUAAAAUAUCUGCAAGAUCUUAAAUAAUGUUGUUUAUUGCACCAAAAACAAAUAACUUUAGGAGUUAUAUUCUGCCCUAUAUUAUCAACUGCCCUAUAUUUAGUUGAAUAAAUUGGGAGGGGCUCAGCUGUCUGUAUCACUCUACACUCUGUCCUAGAAGAAGAAGAAGAAGGAGGGGGACGGGGGCUGUAACAUCUGCACUUCUUUCUCUGCCUAAAGCCACAAGUCGUUUUAACCCCUUCAUUCUUGGUUUCCCUCCUUAAGUUAUCCAAGAACAAAGCUACUUCUGUCAAAGUGCUUUUUUCUCUAGCUACCACAAUUGCAGUUGGAUCUAGAUCUUGAAAUUUUUUCACAAAUUCAUUAAUUAACUGAUCUUCAGAAAAAUCAGCAACAAGUCUAUAUGCAUUUUCAAAUUUUACAAGAAAACUAAAUAUAUCCUCCCCCUUGUGUGGUUUUAGUUUUUCCAACAUUUCAGUGUCUGCAAAAUCAUUCCCUGUUGUUAAUUUUAUUAAUUGUGUUAAUCUGUCUCGCUUAUUUCCAUAUAUUAUUUCACCAUUGUCCUCAAAUUUUACAAUCGCGGUCAGCCUACAUGCCAUUUGAGUCGGCAGCCAUAUUUGAAAUAGUCUAUUCCUUUGUACGUCAUUUAGGCUGUAUUUGUCUAAAUUAGACUCAAACAUUUCAGCAUUAGUGAAUGCAUCCACUGACGUGUCACAAACUGGAAUACAUUUCACAAUUUUCAUUAAUUGUUCAUGGAUCUUCAAAUUAAGUUUUGCAGCUCUGUCUUGAAAUUUAUAUUUCUGCAAAUCACUCUGUGAGGAUACAUUUUCAGUAUCUAUUGGUUCUGGGAUUAGAUUCUGUGCCUGUAUUUUUCUUGUAUUAACACACACUAGCUUUACUUCAUUUCUAAGCUGGCAAAUAAGAUCAUUUCUUAGUUCAACUCUAUCCUCUAAUUCACAAACUGUUUCUGACAAUGUGCUCUCUGUUACAUUGUUACACUGUUCAUUUAAAUCUGAUUUGUCUUCUGUUAACCCAUUCAAAUCUACUUCUUUUUCUGAUGAUUCUAAAUUUUCUUGAUCUGCAUUUCGUUUACAAAUCAAUGCAUUGUAAGUACAGACUAGUUUCAUAACAUUUCUGAUCUUUUGUUUUUUUUUCUUAUUAACAAACAAUUUCUUGUCAAUUUCACUAUUGGCAAUUUCACAUUGUGUGUAUAAAGAUUGCCACAAAACAGCAUCUGAAUAGCUGCUAUUAAAUGCAAACUGCAAUUUACUUUUCUCUGCGAUAUUCAUUUAUAAAUUCCACAAUUCAUUUGUUCCAACAAAAUCUAACUUUCCUUAUUCCAACAUGCCAAUAACCUCUUGCUUAACAACAUAUACAAGAUUACACAAAGUUCCUAACUAGGUUAUUCGUCCAGCAAAUAUACCUUGUUUCCCUCACAUUCCUCACUGAGUUUACAAGCAUUUCACCCAUUCACCCCACCCCCCUGUAGCCAAUACUCAUAACAGUCAGAGCAAGAGAAAGCGACAAAGAAGGAGGGGGGAGGAGGGAGGAAGACUUGCAAGCACAAAGUUUUUUAACCAUGUGAUUGCCUAAGCACAGCUCUCCUUAGGACAAAAGAUAGAAUAGGAGAGUAACGAUACAAAUUGUAUAGAUUACAAUUAACAUAUAUGGUACCCAACAAGACAUACACAGACAAAAGCACAAAAUACAGAUGUAAUUAAAUCACAAAGUUCUUAAAAUAAAUGCCGGCUUAUAAUAACUCAAAUCACACACACAGAAACACUCAAGCACAUAAACCGCUCCUUUACCAAAUAUAUUUUUUAACUCUUGACCGAGUCCCUCAAUAACUUCUCUACCGAAGUUUUAGUUAAAA
rnacentral:lncRNA from 1 species